rnacentral:lncRNA from 1 species
CAAAAAAUUCAGAUUAAAUCUGUCAAGUUUUAAAAAAGAUAUAUUUUUACAAAAUUUUAAAAUAAUUUUUUUUUGGAUGAAUUAUAGAAAAUCUUUAUGUUAAUACCCGUCUUUUUAACUUUUUUUUCUGUCAUUCAAAAACCUACACUUUAUUCUCUUAAAAAAUAAAAAAUAUUCACUUGUAACCCCGUCGUGAGUGUUCCGUUAGGAUUUUGUUUGUAUCAUAUUUUUUAUAUUUAAAAUACUCCUGAAGCUCUCAUCUUUUCUCAUUUUCGGUCGCACUGCCUCGCCCUCCCCGACCUCUCUGUUCAUGCCCACACACGCGUUCUCGUCCGCCUUCGCCGCCUCACCCUUGCCUGCCUUCGCCCAUCUCUUCAUCCACGCCCAUCCUGAAGAAGAUAAGGGGUAAUUUGGUUAUUUUGUCAUAAUAUACUUUUGUGAAUAUUUUUUAUUUUUUAAAUAAAUAAAUUAUAGAUUUUUAAAUGACAGAAGAAAAAAUAAAAAAGCGGAUGUUGACAUUAAUUUUUUUUUUUAUAAUUCAGCCUAAUUUUUUAUACAAAUUAAGCCUAAAAAAUAAUUC